GAUGAUGAGGGACAAACUGAGGAUGAGGGACAAACUGAGGAUGGAGUGGACACUGGUGGUCCCAAGCGUGAGUUCCUGACCCUCCUAAUGGAAUGCCUGAGAAUGAGAAGAAUAUUUGAUGGUCCACAGGACAGGAAAUUCCUCAAGUUCGACAAUGCAGCUGCAAAAGAUGACGAAUACUUUCAUGCUGGGAGGAUGAUUGCAACUUCUAUAGUUCAAAAACACAAGGAGAAAAAGAAGAAAACAUCAUGUCAUGGCUCACUGUCUCAAAAUCUGAUUCUAAAUGUAUAAUGUUCUUUAUAAAGAUAUAACUAAUACACAAUUAUGAAUGUAUAAUAUAAGCUGUUUUGUGUAUUUAAUCAUGCGUUGGUCUACAAUUUAAUGAUGGCUUCUACAUAUUUCACAUAAACAGACAAUGAAAAAAUGUGUCCUUCAUGCUGAUAACUAGUGUAUGCAUCUGCAAUUAGUAUUCUAAACAGAGCAGUGUGUUGAAUCCUUAUUUCUUGCAUUUGAAACAGAUACAAUACAAAAAGUGAACUUACUGUUGUGUUCAACUUCUGCCAAAAACUGUACAUGUUUGCCACAGGAGCCACAUAGCACUUGAACUGUCCACAGAUGUUGGCCACAGAAAGGACAAAACAUGGCAGCCUGAAAAGACAUACAUUGAUGUAGUGAAUCCAUGUAAUCAAGUCAAUCAAAAACACAUAGUCUAAAUAGUGGUUAGCUAAAUAAAUAGAUACAUCAUGUUCACCGUU